UUUUUUUUUUUUUUGAGAGAGAGACAUAAGCUGAGAAGGGUCAGAGAGAGAGGGAGACACAGAAUCCAAAGCAAGCUCCAGGCUCCAAGCUGUCAGCACAGAGUGUGACAUGGGGCUCGAACCCGCGGACCACGAGAUCAUGACCUGAGCCAAAGUCAGACAGUUAACUGACUGAGCCACCCAGAUGCCCCUUAACCUACAAAGAUAGCAAUUUCAUAUGGCUCAAUCCUGUAUAAUUAGAGCUUGAAUAGAAGCAGAUCUUAUGGCAUGGUCAUAAAAGUUCCUUUUUAUACUAAGGGACAAAAAAAAAAAAUUGGAGAAAAUUAAAGAGCCACCAUAAGUAAUUGUGUCAUAUGUUAGUAACCGUAACAUUGAAUGCUACUAACUAACUUAAUGUUGAACUUUUGAGAAGCCAUUCAAGUCUGACUGUGAAAAAAGCCUUUUCUUUGCUUUCAGUCUAAAGGGGAAGAUCAGUGGUGUUUCCAAUGCUUUGGCACACUAGUAAAUGGGCUUUGUUUCCUUUUUAAAAAGUUUUUAAAAUUUUUUUAAUGCUUACUUAUUUUUGAGAGUGAGCGAGCAGGGGAAGAGCAGAGAGGGAGACAGAGGAUCUAAAGCAGGCUCUGUGCUGUCAGUGAAGAGCCCAGUGCAAGUCUUGAACUCCUAAACCGCAAGAUCAUGACCUGAGCCGAAGCUGGAGGCUUAAUCUACUGAGCCAUCCAGGCGCUUUGCUUUGUUUCCUUUUUUUAACAGCUGAGGGAAAAUGACUGAAAAGGGGAGUCAGAAGCAAAGCUGAAAGAAUCAAUUAUUACAAAGAGCCAAGCUAAAUUCACUAAUUCACUGUCAGGCAGUUUUCACCGUCAUACAAAGAAAUAAGGCUAUUGCUGUUUGAAGAAUCUCAAACUCAGAUGUUCCAGAAUGCAUGCUGUUAAUGCCAUGUGUCCCCCAGAACAGUUUUGUUUUUGAGCUGCUGUAGUCUUGUCCUCUGGCAUCACGUGGUCCCAGCAUCUGCUCUGCCUUCCCUUUGGGUAUCACACUAAGACACACCUUCUUAGAAAUUAUAGAUCUGAGUUUUUCACAGUGAGGAAAUGCUAUCCCUAUCUUCCCUUUACUUAAUGCUUGAGUCUCUCUCUCUUUUUUUUUUUAACUCUGAAAAGCAGGAUCCAGAGCUUUGCAUGUUGGUCAAUGAAUGGGGUAUACUCUGAUAAUGUGAGAACAAAGUCAGAAAAUGGGAUUCAGUGAAACAGGUGAUGGUAAUUACCAACGUAACAUGCACAAGAUUGGCCAUUGGUGGAAACAAAUCAGAAAUGACAUGGCCUUGGAUUCAAAUCUUGGCUCUACGACUUAUUAGCAGGGUGACUUUGGCCAUGUCAUUUAACUCCAUGCCUCAGUUUCCAUAGCUGUAAAAUGGGAAUAACAGUAUAUCUAUCUAAUGGGUCUCCUGGGUGGCUCAGUCGGUUGAACAUCUGACUUUGGCUCAGGUCAUGAUCUCACGGUUCGUGGGUUCGAACGCCACGUUGGGAUCUGUGCUGGCAGCUCAGACCCUGGAGCCUGCUUCGGAUUCUGUGUCUCCUUCUCUCUCUGCCUUUCCCUCAUUCAUGCUCUGUCUUUCAAAAAUAAAUAAAUGUUAAAAAAAAAGUUUUUAAAAAGUAUAUCUACCUUAAAGGAUGUUGAGGGUUAAAUGAAUUAAUAUAUGUAAAGUAUUUAGGACAGUGCAUGACAUGUGGUAAGUAAUAUGUAAAUGUUAACAAAAAAAGAAAAAGAAAGAAAGAGAAGAAAGAAAAAGAAAAUAUGAGCUCCGGAUUUUUGCUCAUGGACAGGGUAUCUCUCUGACACCCUUCAGUAAACUGGACAGUUUAGCCAUCCUUCCCUAAGCCUUCCGUCCUGCACGAGGCCACGGCAGACCUUUGUCAAAAUCCCUUACACAUUUAUGAAUUUUCUUCUUUUUUUGACAAGAGAUGGUGGGAAAACAAGUGUUCUGCGGGAGGGCUCCGAUCCUCUGAGGAGAAAGCAGUCUGUCUGUGCCAAGUAUGCUCUUGGCCAGCAUGCUCUGCAGCCAAGGGUGCUGGCCACGUGACUGGAAUCACCUGAAAGAUCUUCCAGACGUUCCCACUGGACCGUGCUACCAGCAGCAGCCACCGUGCAUCCAGUCUGCAUCGCUGCACAUUGGUCUGGGCGGAAGUGGAGGCUGGCGGGAGGAUGAUGGGGAAACAUACAACUGAGCCCCCUGUCUGUAAGCACACACACUUACACAGCUUUUCAUUUUGAGGAGUUGACUGGAACUCUGUAAGGAACUACAAGACAAAUAGCUAAGGGCUGAAGCAGUGACUUGGAGCAGUGGUUUUCAAAGUGUGAUAGCGGGAUCAUUAUCUGCACUGGCAUCACUUAGGAAUCUAUUUUAACAAGCCUUCCUGGUAAUUGUGAUACUCAACUCAAGUUUGAGAAGCCCAGGCCUAGAACUACAGUAGCUGUGCCCCUCCCCCCACUCUCCAUCUCUAUUUCUCUCCAUCCUCAUGGUGUCAGUGUCUUGGUCAUUGUCCCCCUUACCACACACCCAACAUCCCUUUUAAGAAAAAAGGGACUGAUUAGAUCUUUCCAAGCUAUUAUGCCUACGUGAGCCCUCAGAGAACCAGGAGAGGGGAUUUGGCGUUUUCUCUCCUUGGAGAUGAGAGAUUGCAAAACCACUUUCUUUCUGCAGGUGAAAAUUAGAUAAUCAGGCUUCAUUUAGAAGCCCAGCAGGCUUUAUAAGCCUCAUUCUCUCCAGGCACAAAAAAGCCCAAGGGAAAGAAGCUGAGUGGUUUAUCCCUGAUGAAGGAGGCUAGCCCAGAUUGCCCCAACUAAAGAACUGAAAGGGCUUGAAGAUGCAUUGCUUUGAACCAGUGAGACCUUUUUCCAUUCUUCUAUAAGAUUUAGCACCUAGGAUUUCCCCCAGAGACCUUAGGUGUGAUCCUUUGACACAUAGUUUGACGUGAACCUAUCAUCUAUAAUUCUGUGGAGGAAACCCACGGAACCCACGGGCACGGGUGCCCAAACAUCCUUCUGGCCUCCCACUUUGGGAAGGGUAAAGGGGUGUUCCCUUCAGCUGCCCCUCCAGAGGGCUUGCUGUGGCAAAAAAAGGGCUGAGCCCAGAAGUGUACAUUCCUGGAGCUUUGAGCUGUCAGUCUUCUCUAGUUCUCCCGAUGAGUUGAUAGAUGAAUGAAAUGAGAUACCGAAUGGUUAAGGAAGGUUCUUGAUUACCCAGUUUGCCAGUGGCUGAGUUUUUGUUUUUUAUACAGGAAAAUUAUAAUAAGGUAGAACUUUCCUACUAUCUUGUGGGUUAAUGAUGUCCAACAUAGUAGCUACCAGCCACAUAUAGUUAUCUUAAAUUAAUUAAAAUUUAAAAAUUCAGUUCCGGCGGGGGGGUGGGGGGGCUCACCUGGUUGAGCGUCUGACUUCGGCUCAGGUCAUGAUCUCGAGGUUUGUGAGUUUGAGGCCUAUGUCGGGCUCACUGCUGUCACACAGUCCGAGCAGAGCCCUCUUUGGAUCCCCUGUCCCCCGCUCUCUCUGCCCUUCCCUUGCUUGUGCUCUCUCACAAGAUAAAUAAAACAAAAUUCAGUUUUUUAUUUGCACUUAGCCACUUUUUAAGGGCUCAGUAGCUGCAUGUGGCUAGUAGCUACCCUAUCAGAAAGUGCCAUACAGAAUAUUUCCAUCACUGCAGAAUGUUCUAUUGGAUGCACUGGUCUAAAGUGAUUGUUGUUGUAAAUUGAUAUAUGUCCUACAUAAGUCGUUUGAAUCAGUCGCUUGUUUCCUUUGUCUCAAAAGAUAUUGCCAAGAAAAAGAGGGUAACGCUCUGACCUCCAGCAGACUGAACUAACACAAAAGUAAGAUACACUGAGGUAUUUCAGUUAGUUGCUUACCUGUCUGUUGUUUACAUGUCAUUGUUUGGUAUAUAGUACCUGUGUAUAUUUGUCCACUCAGUUAUUCUUUCAGUUGGUGUGCCUUUAUUACAUCACUACCAUAUUUUGGACAUAGCAUAGGUACUAGCAUAUUGCCUUGCCUGUAAGAAGCUGCUGUCCAGAAGAGACAGACGAAAGAACAGAUCAUUGUAAUACAGCAUGGUCACUGGCAUGCAGGGCAAGCAUACAAAUGGAGGCACAUUCCAAGCGUCUAAGUAUUUAAAAACUAUAAAUCAAGCUAACAACUGGGAACGGAUCCUCUUCAUGCAGCGGUCAAGUGAGAAACUGGAGAGUUUCUUGGAAAAUACUCCCAUCUUCCACCUUCCUUUGAGCCUCCUGCUCUGGUAAAAUGUCAUGCAAGGAAAGGACGGGGUCUUUGUUUUGACUGGCUAAAGUGGUCUCCUGCUAGGAGCUGAGGGCAAGAAUAUAAGAUUACUUACCAAGAUAUCUUCCUGGGAGCCCUCUGGUAUUAUGAUCACCUAACCCUUCUGUAAAUUGCCUUUAAUUCUCUCUGCCAAUAGGACUGUCCCAAUAAGCCAGGGCAAGUGUGAAGGAUAAAGUUGUAAAAACAAAUGCAAAACCUA